rnacentral:rRNA from 1 species
CAUAUCAAUAAGCGGAGGAAAAGAAACCAACAGGGAUUGCCCUAGUAACGGCGAGUGAAGCGGCAACAGCUCAAAUAUGAAAUCUGGCUCUUUUGGAGUCCGAGUUGUAAUUUGCAGAGGGCGCUUUGGCGUUGGCAGCGGUCCAAGUUCUUUGGAACAGGACGUCAUAGAGGGUGAGAAUCCCGUACGUGGUCGCUAGCCUUCGCCGUGUAAAGCCCCUUCGACGAGUCGAGUUGUUUGGGAAUGCAGCUCUAAAUGGGAGGUAAAUUUCUUCUAAAGCUAAAUACUGGCCAGAGACCGAUAGCGCACAAGUAGAGUGAUCGAAAGAUGAAAAGCACUUUGGAAAGAGAGUCAAAUAGCACGUGAAAUUGUUGAAAGGGAAGCGCUUGCAGCCAGACUUGCCUGUAGUUGCUUAUCCGGACUUUUGUCCGGUGCACUCUUCUGCGGGCAGGCCAGCAUCAGUUUGGGCGGUUGGAUAAAGGUCUCUGUCAUGUACCUCUCUUCGGAGAGGCCUUAUAGGGGAGACGACAUGCAACCAGCCUGGACUGAGGUCCGCGCAUCUGCUAGGAUGCUGGCGUAAUGGCUGUAAGCGGCCCGUCUUGAAACACGGACCAAGGAGUCUAACAUUUAUGCGAGUGUUUGGGUGUCAAGCCCAGACGCGUAAUGAAAGUGAACGGAGGUGGGAACCCUUUGGGUGCACCAUCGACCGAUCCUGAUGUCUUCGGAUGGAUUUGAGUAAGAGCAUGGCUGUUGGGACCCGAAAGAUGGUGAACUAUGCUUGAAUAGGGUGAAGCCAGAGGAAACUCUGGUGGAGGCUCGCAGCGGUUCUGACGUGCAAAUCGAUCGUCAAAUUUGGGCAUAGGGGCGAAAGACUAAUCGAAC